AAACUUACCUGGCUGGGAGACUUCCGCGAUCAGGAAGGCGGGACCUUCACGGUGAGACUGCUCCAUUGCACUUUCGGUCCGGUUGACCCGUGUGGCUACUCCGAGUUGGGGUCAGCCAACAGCACAAUUUUUGCGUUUGGGGUUGCGUUCGCGCUCCCCCGC
rnacentral:snRNA from 1 species